GGGGGCGUCGGUUAAUUGCGCAAACCAGCAGGCUCCAACCCUGCGACUGGGAGUUCGAAUCUCUCCGCCCCUGCCA
rnacentral:tRNA from 1 species